GAUCAUGGCUCAGAGUGAACGCUGGCGGCAGGCCUAAUACAUGCAAGUCGAAUGGCAGCACAGCAGAGCUUGCUCUGUGGGUGGCGAGUGGCGGACGGGUGAGGAAUACAUGGGAAUCUGCCCAGUCGUGGGGGAUAACGUAGGGAAACUUACGCUAAUACCGCAUGCGCCCUUCGGGGGAAAGCCGGGGACCUUCGGGCCUGGCGCGAUUGGAUGAGCCCAUGUCGGAUUAGCUAGUUGGCGGGGUAAUGGCCCACCAAGGCGACGAUCCGUAGCUGGUCUGAGAGGAUGAUCAGCCACACUGGAACUGAGACACGGUCCAGACUCCUACGGGAGGCAGCAGUAGGGAAUAUUGGACAAUGGGCGCAAGCCUGAUCCAGCCAUGCCGCGUGAGUGAAGAAGGCCCUCGGGUUGUAAAGCUCUUUUGUCCGGAAAGAAAAGCGCCGGGUUAAUACCCUGGUGUCCUGACGGUACCGGAAGAAUAAGCACCGGCUAACUUCGUG
rnacentral:rRNA from 1 species